GCGUGUGCGUGCAUGGGGUUUAGCGUUUCGAGAGGUUAGGAUUUGAUCGGCUCUGUGGAACGUUGUAGAGAUCGGGUGCGUGACGUGGUGAUGGUGGUGGUGGUGGCCGGUCUUAUCCUAGGUAGGUAGCUGGCCGAGAACGCGGCUUGUAGUCUCUGAAUUAGCGCCUUAAGAUAUGCUCGUAUGCUACCGAUAGCUACAUAAUUUUAUUAGUGUGAAGUACAUAUGUCCCAACAUUAGAAAAAUUGAUAAUAAAGUUAUAUCUACAGGUGGACGGGAUUCUCCGGAUAAAAGUUCUUACCUAAGACUUGAUGGGCGACGGCGGCCUGUGAUAUCUAUGAAGACGUCGUAUAGGAGAUCAUGUUGAUUUCCUUGCUCGCCUCCAUUCAGGGUGGUGUGUGGCGACGUUCUUAGAUGUUCUCGUCGGGUUACAUGAGAAGCGAGUAGAUCUUCUCUCUCGCCCUUCUCUCUACAACGUCCAAAAGUUUGAAAGCAAUAUUAUGCUGUUUGAAAGCAAUAUUAUGCUGGAGAAGAGCGAGGCGAUAGGUAUGUUCCUCUUCGAAGGGCUGACGACGAUCGGGUACGCUUAGCGAUGAUCGGUUAGCAUUAGUCCUAUCCUCAAUUCCGUUAUUGGAGUCGCCAACGUGUAAUGGAUUGUGUGCGCUAGUCACGAAAAAGGUGCAUGGAUUUUUCAGGAUCAGAUUGAAGCUUCGGGCGUGGGGUCUGCUUUGUUGAAUCAUAAUAUAGUUCACGUAAUCACGCCUCGACAAAUUUAUGAUAGGUACAGUAAACACAGGCACUCGUGCGCGUUCCUGGGAUGAUGAUGGACCGGGGUUGCAGCUUGGUCGCUGUUGUACAACACCAGAGAAAGCUUCUUCCCUGCGUGCCAUUGCCAUUGCAGCUGGAGAAACGUAGUAGUACAGUGUUGAUAGACUCUCCGUGCAACCAGAAAGUAUGGCUGGUGCUACCAAUUCAGCAGGCUGGCACAGCCUUACCAUGUACUAGGCCGACAGGACAUGCCAGCUGCCGGCAGCGACGUCGUCGUGCGCAAGAGCUCAUGUUCAUCACCGAAUUGCUUGCCGCUAACCUUCCGGGAAGAAGGCGGCGUGUGCAGAUGACGUAAGGCAGCACAUGGUCGAUGGUUCCGUCGCUCUCCCACUCGUGUACAGCCCUUUGGAAACUGGAACGAGCACAUGCUUUCCACACACACAACGACAGAGACACUUCUUUGGCCUGUCUGCUGAAGGAAGCGGACAACUUACCUGUUUCGUGUUCUCAAUAUAUAUAUAUAUAUAUAUAUAUAGUAGUUUCGUUGAGCCUCUUGGCUUCUGGGAUGAACCUGUUGCAUUAUUAAGGACCAAGUGGCGGCUCGAUGAACAACGUUGCCAUUCAUCCGCGAGUACCACAUCUCCAGCUGCAUCUUUUUUAUUACGGAAUACAUAGACGCAAGCAUACACCCACAUUAUUACAAUCAAAGAAAGGCAAUAUGAAGAUUCACGUAGGGCCAAGUCCAGUUUUUACAAGUCAAUUGCUGAACCAUUUGGGAGCGGACGCAUGCAAGGGCAACUGAACACAACCGGUCACGGCCACACAAAAAGUUGUGCUAGUGUAGGGAAAUAUAUCCUAUACGCAAUACCGGAUAAUACGGGAACCGAAGCUUCCCGACCUGAAAUGGCGUUGCCCUCCGGGCCAAAGAGAGGAACAUUAUGGCUUAAGCCUCUGCUAUGGCUCUUCGAUUGUUUGCCUCCCUACAAUCUGUACAAGGGAAUGGAUAUACAUUGCGUACCAGAGAUCAAUCAUUAUACCCAACCAGCAGGCAACAGCAUUUAGCUGUUUAUUCUCAUCUCAAGCAACAACACGCCUGCUUAGACACCGCAUAAGGAGGUGUGCCAACAUUAAUCAAUAAUGCAAGCCUAAAACUGCAGCAAGGCCUUGCAGUUUCACUCCUAUCAAAACAUGAACAGCUUAUCUCUUGGAUGAAGUCACCUUCCAUGCAUUUCCUUCUUUU